rnacentral:rRNA from 1 species
CCUACGGGAGGCAGCAGUCGAGAAUCAUUCACAAUGGGGGAAACCCUGAUGGUGCGACGCCGCGUGGGGGAAUGAAGGUCUUCGGAUUGUAAACCCCUUUCAUGUGGGAGCAAAUUAAAAAGAUAGUACCACAAGAGGAAGAGACGGAUAACUCUGUGCCAGCAGCCGCGGUAAUACAGAGGUCUCAAGCGUUGUUCGGAAUCACUGGGCGUAAAGCGUGCGUAGGCUGUUUCGUAAGGCGUGUGUGAAAGGCGCGGGCUCAACCCGCGGACGGCACAUGAUACUGCGAGACUAGAGUGAUGGAGGGGGAAGCGGAAUUCGUGGUGUAGCAGUGAAAUGCGUAGAUAUCGAGAGGAACACUCGUGGCGAAGGCGGGUUCCUGGACAUUAACUGACGCUGAGGCACGAAGGCGAGGGGAGCGAAAGGGAUUAGAUACCCCGGUAGUC